rnacentral:lncRNA from 1 species
GUUUUGUUAAGAUGCACUUUUGUAUUGGAUGUUGUAAGUAAUUGAAAUUGUCACUAUGCUGAAUUUCUUCCACAGAAGAAUGAGAGAUGUGACUCGAAGAUUUAUUAGGCAUACGUAUGUAUUAUAUAUCCUGUUCAACACUCAGUGUCCUAUAGAGCCACACACGCACCACAAACCACUAUUAAGGACUGUGGAUUAUGAUUAAUCAACCCAUUGUUGAAUGUUCCAGAACAGCCGCGGUAUCCAAACGGUUGUGCAGAUGUGGGAGGAGCAUUUAACCUCAUUGAAACAUAACAAACUGCCAAGGAACAAAGAACCUGUGCUGUAUCCUGCAGUCAUGAUUGGAUCUCUGGAUCAGAGUUGGAGGUGACAGUCAGAGCAGGAGACAACAUCACUCUCUACUGUGACUGCAAGUUAUCAAGUGGAGUUUACGUAGUGUGGUACAGGAACUGCUCUCAUGACAACCAGCCUAUUCUUGUCCUUAAAAGAACUUCAUGGCCAAAAACCACUACGAUUGAAAACUUCCUGAAUCCCCUCCCUCGUUUCCACUUUGUGAGAAACUAUUCCUCUGACUCCUACGACCUGCUGAUCAGUAACAUCACUGACUCUGAUGAUGGCCUCUACUACUGUGGAACUGAAGAGAAUAAGCUGGAGGAUGAAAAAUACAUUACUAGCAGAUCUGUUAACCGAUAUGGCAACACAACAACAAGGAUCUUAUUCAAUUCCAGCUCUGAAUCCAGUGGAUGCAUUUUGAACCCUGGUGUGUCCUGGAUUAUGCUGUUCACUCCAGCCUUCACUAUUCUCUCCUCCUCCAUCUCCUUUAUUUUGGUGUAUCACUUCUUUCAGAAAACAGAUAAGGAACCUCAAAUUCUCCAGAAAAGAUUUGACAUCAGGGCACAAACAAGAUUGGAUCAGGAUGAAGAUGUGUGUUUCACAAGAGUUGUGUUCCGAGCUACGGAUGGACAAACACACCAAUAG